UACGUAGGGUGCGAGCGUUAAUCGGAAUUACUGGGCGUAAAGCGUGCGCAGGCGGCGCGUUAAGACAGUGUGAAAGCCCCGAGCUUAACUUGGGAAUUGCGCUUGUGACUGGCGUGCUGGAGUGUGGCAGAGGGAGGUGGAAUUCCACGUGUAGCAGUGAAAUGCGUAGAGAUGUGGAGGAACACCGAUGGCGAAGGCAGCCUCCUGGGCCAGCACUGACGCUCAUGCACGAAAGCGUGGGGAGCAAACAGG
rnacentral:rRNA from 1 species